GUCUACGGCCAUGCUACCCUGAACAAGCCCAAUCCCGUCUGAUCUCAGAAGCUAAGCAAGGUCGGGCCUGGUUAGUAUUUGGAUGGGAGACCACCUAGGAAGACCAGGUGCUGUAGGCA
rnacentral:rRNA from 1 species